UCCCCUGUCUCCUCCCGGGGUGAGGAGGAGCUGGAGGAGGGGCCGGCCUCUGUACGGCCCCGGCCAGGCGGCUGUCACCCUCUGAGGAGGCAGCGCCAGGGGAGGGGCGUCCCGGGCGGCCGCCGCCGCCAGGGGGAGGCGCUGGGAGUGGGAGUGGGAACGGGACCUCAGCGGUCGAGCUCGGCCGGGACCCUAGGUGCGGGGGAGGCGGGGUCCCGGGCUCCGGCUGCCUGCCCAGACCUGGCGGGGAUGGGCCCGUGCGGCUCCGGGUGUGGGACGUAUCCUGGGAGCGCCCGGGGUUAUUCCCACUGACUCCCGGGAGGUGGGUGUGCGCCCUUCGCCCCCUGCCUGGUCUGUGGGGAUCCAUCGUUGCUGGAGACUGGAGGUCGGGGGCCAUGGGAGCCCCGGGGCGAACGGUGCGGGCCUGGGUCUUGUGGAAAGGAGGAGCGACCGCCUGAGCGUGCAGCAGGACGUCCUCCUGACCUGAAGUACAAGUCACAAGACCGGAAUACUUCACUUGAAUAAGAACUCAGUGCAAAGAAGUUGGAUAAAUCGGAGAAAACCACACACGUGGCCAUUGAUGCCCUUGGUUGACAGAGUUGACGGGAUUUUCUCUGGCUCUCACCUUGAGGGCAUCAUCAGCAUCCUGAAGUCACUAGCGGGCCUCUGUGCAGAUGUCCUUUCGAGGGGCUUCAGGCUGUGGAAGUGACCAGUGAACACAGGACCUGCCUGGACUCCCAGCCUCACAGCACAGCACCACAGCCUGGACUGCCCCCUGCCUGAUACUUGCUUGGUUUGGAACUUUACUCCAUCAAAACAUCCAAAUAAAAAUAUGUAGACUCCCCACCCUAUCCCAUCUGCUAUAGGGUUCUAAUUCCCCCACAGACAUCCCAUCACAGUGCUUUCCCCCAUGACGGGGGACUCCUGAGCUGGACUCCAUCCCUCCCCUACCAGAAAAGCACAGGUGCUGUGGCAUGAGUUCAACCACCUGAAAUUCCCUGAUCUUCAGAGUAAUAAUUCUAAAAUAGGGCAAUAAUACCCCUGUCAGUGUUCUUGGAAGAACUUCUCAUUACUUGAGGCCCCAGAAAUGCAAACACUCCUCCGGUUUUCCAGCAUGCUGUCAACCCUGGCAUCAGAGCUCUUCCUGCCGUGGGCACUGGUAAUUGACUUACUGGAGAAAGUCAAGCUUUUAAGUCCCAGGAAUAAAGGAUUCCUAUUUC